GGGGGGGGGGGGGGGGGGGGCGGGGGGAGGGGGGGCGGGCGGACAGCUGGGGAGGUGGGGCGUGGGAGGUUGGCGGCGGGGGGGUGAGGAACAGGGGGCUGACCCAGCUGUAUGCCGGGGAUGGCUUCGGGAGACCGGAUCUAAUACCCGAUAAUAUAGCUACCCGCCUUGUUGAGUCGUUGCAUUCGGUUUUGCUGACACUUAUAGCCGCAUCCGCUCCCCAUUAGCUCGUUGGUAAGGUUACGGCUUACUAAGGCAACGAUGCGUAGCCGACCUGCGAGGGUGAUCGGCCACACUGGAACUGAGACACGGGCCAGACUCCUACGGGAGGCAGCAGUAGGGAAUCUUCCACAAUGGGCGAAAGCCUGACGGAGCAACGCCGCGUGAGUGAUGAAGGUCUUCGGAUCGUAAAACUCUGUUAUUAGGGAAGAACAAAUGUGUAAGUAACUAUGCACGUCUUGACGGUACCUAAUCAGAAAGCCCCGGCUAACUACGUG
rnacentral:rRNA from 1 species